AGCGAACGCUGGCGGCAGGCCUAACACAUGCAAGUCGAACGAAGUCUUCGGACUUAGUGGCGGACGGGUGAGUAACACGUGGGAGCGUGCCUUUAGGUUCGGAAUAACUCAGGGAAACUUGUGCUAAUACCGAAUGUGCCCUUCGGGGGAAAGAUUUAUCGCCUUUAGAGCGGCCCGCGUCUGAUUAGCUAGUUGGUGAGGUAAAGGCUCACCAAGGUGACGAUCAGUAGCUGGUCUGAGAGGAUGAUCAGCCACAUUGGGACUGAGACGCGGCCCAAACUCCUACGGGAGGCAGCAGUGGAGAAUCUUGCGCAAUGGGCGAAAGCUUGACGCAGCCAUGCCGCGUGAAUGAUGAAGGUCUUAGGAUUGUAAAAUUCUUUCACCGGGGACGAUAAUGACGGUACCCGGAGAAGAAGCCCCGGCUAACUUCGUGCCAGCCGCCGUGGUAAGAC
rnacentral:rRNA from 1 species